rnacentral:rRNA from 1 species
UAGCUUUGCACUGGACUUUGAAUAUUUAUGUGUAGGAUAGGUGGGAGACCAUGAAGCAGCUACGCCAGUAGUUGUGGAGUCGUCCUUGAAAUACCACCCUUGAAUAUUUGAAGUUCUAACUCAGGAGAGAUUCGAGGACAGUGUAUGGUGGGUAGUUUGACUGGGGCGGUCUCCUCCUAAAGAGUAACGGAGGAGUACGAAGGUGCACUCGGUACGGUCGGAAAUCGUGCCAAGAGUAUAAAGGCAAAAGUGCGCUUGACUGCGAGAGUGACGGCUCGAGCAGGUACGAAAGUAGGUCUUAGUGAUCCGGUGGUCCCGAAUGGAAGGGUCAUCGCUCAACGGAUAAAAGGUACUCCGGGGAUAACAGGCUAAUUCCUCCCAAGAGUUCAUAUCGACGGAGGAGUUUGGCACCUCGAUGUCGGCUCAUCACAUCCUGGGGCUGAAGUAGGUCCCAAGGGUAUGGCUGUUCGCCAUUUAAAGUGGUACGCGAGCUGGGUUCAGAACGUCGUGAGACAGUUCGGUCCCUAUCUGCCGUGGGCGUUAGAGAUUUGAGAAGAGUUGCUCCUAGUACGAGAGGACCGGAGUGAACGAACCACUGGCGUUCCGGUUGUUUCGCCAGAAGCAUUGCCGGGUAGCUACGUUUGGACGGGAUAAACGCUGAAAGCAUCUAAG